UACGUAGGGGGCAAGCGUUAUCCGGAUUUACUGGGUGUAAAGGGAGCGUAGACGGUUAUGUAAGUCUGGAGUGAAAGCCCGGGGCUCAACCCCGGGACUGCAUUUGGAACUGUGCUGCUAGAGUGUCGGAGAGGCAGGCGGAAUUCCUAGUGUAGCGGUGAAAUGCGUAGAUAUUAGGAGGAACACCAGUGGCGAAGGCGGCCUGCUGGACGAUGACUGACGUUGAGGCUCGAAAGCGUGGGGAGCAAACAGG
rnacentral:rRNA from 1 species